GUCAAUUUUAAGAUGGCCUACGAAUGCGUUCCUUUCCCCGCCCCCGGAAGUUUAAUGUAGAGGACUGAAAGGAUCCUAAAUUUAAAAUACUGGAAAGAUUGUAAAACAGAAAAAAAGAAGUAGCGACCCUAAACUGGAUGAAGCUUGGUGGUUGGAUGGAUGCAUGGAUGGAUUGAAAGCAGCUUCGGGGCAGGAGAGCUGGAGGCACUUUGGUAGCCAUUAGUGCUUUUAGUACUUGAAGAGAAACCUGAAGAAAAAUACAGGAAGAUGUCUCGUUACGGGCUCUCGCUCUUGGCCCACGCACCUGUGAUUGUCUCCACCUGCUGCUGAUCUGGCUGAUUUCCCCAGCUGCUAUUUAAGGCAGUGGCACAGAGCAGCUCACCGCUGGAACGUUGAACCUCCUGAGUUCGUGCUCUCGGCAUUAUCAAAAGAAUCCUCUAUGUGAAUUUUGCUGUGGAACUAACGUUGAAUUCUGUGUGUAGAUAUCCCUCUUCUGGACCAAAUCAUGGGACCUGCCCGGGUGUGGCAGCAUGUGUGGAGUUUCGGAGCAAGUGCGGCUGAAGAGGAGUGCGUGUGUGCGGAGGAGCUGUGGCGGUGACUGUGUGGAAGAGGAAGCGUGUGUGGAUCCCCCCCCUUCUCUCCCCAGAGCCCUGGACCCCCCCUCUCCCAACUCACUGUACAUAUAUAUAGCACUGAG